GGCAGACUGGUCAGGACUCUGCCAGGAGGACUGAAACCAGGGACCCUGAGCUGAGAAAGGGUUCUGGGAGGUGCCUGCCGGAGGCCCACUGGGGUGCUCUUCAGAGACCUGCUUCUCCCCUCCCCCAGCAGAAAUCAGUCUCUGACCAGCUGUCACCUCAGUGUCCCCACGCCACCAGAGAGGCUUAGGGUGGGGUCCACUGGCUGAGUCUAGGCCCCAGGCCACACCCUGGAGGAGAAGCAGUCCAGAUGCCAGCUGUUCAGGUGUCCAAGUUUCGUUACCUCCCAACACUGUCUUGGCACGCUGGUCCUCAGAAGAGAUUGCAGUUGGGGUUUCCCUCUCUGCAGACCGCAUUGUCAGGGAGGAUGAGGAAGGAACAUCCAGGGAGUGUGUCCGUGUUCCCGCAGAAGGAACAUGUGCAUAUGCAACAAUCACAGGAGGUGGAAGGCUGCAGAGGGAAAGGAGGUCGUCUGGAGCCUGGCUCCUGGUCCCUCCCUGAACUCCCCGUCAAGAGCCACUCUCAGAGGACUCUGCCCAGGUUGGCAGUGUCACCCCAUUCCUUCUCUGAUGGAAUAUUUAAAUUAAAAAGAAACAUAUUAAAAGUGUGUUGCAAGUGACAACAGGAGGGAUUCAAGAUGACAGCAUGAGAGCCCCUCACCGUGCCGGGGCCUCCCACCCAUCUCUCCACAAGACGGGGACAUGAUCUGAACCUUGGACUCCCUCUCUUCAAGUGGCCACGGUCCUGGAGCCCCAUCUUCUGGGAGGUGCAUCCUGCAGUGUCCAGCCUGAUCUUGGUCCUGAGCCUCAGACCGAAACCCAUAUCCUGGAGCAGAGCUGUCAGUCCCCAGGGACCUGCUCUCGCCCUGGACCCCAGCUCAGUGAGUGGCACAGCCCCCUCAGUGGCUCAGGUCAGCCCUGGAGUCCCACAUGGCUCUUGCCUUCCCUCUAGCCCUACCUAGACCCUCAGCAGCCCCACCUACCCCCAGUGUUCCCCUGCUUCCCCAUGGACCAGCUGCUGCCCUUGUCCUGCUGGCUGCCCAGCCGCCUUCACUGGAGGUCCCCCUGGAGCCCUGGAGACAUCCAGUGGUUUGUUGGUGGUCACAGAGCUGUAAGGGGACAGGGGCGGCCUGGGAUCUGCCUCAUUCUGGCUCUGGGACAGGGACACCUGACCGCAAAACCCAUUCCCCCAGCUUGCAAGGCAGUAGAUAGCCUGGGAGUGCUGGGUACUCGCUACAGGCUUUGCCUACUGGUGGGUCUGUGAGGACAGGGACUGGUAGUUCCUUCUCUCCAUCCCAACAUCUCGAGGGCCAGUGUUGAGGACAUCUGCUCUGGAGGAAUGUGCGAGGGGGCUCUUAGGACUGGUCUGCCCCUCCCACCUCCCAUGGGUCCAUCCUGGGCUCCUUCAUGGCAGGAGAGAGCCUUGCCCAGCCCUGCCUCCCAGGCCUCUAACAGAACCAGAGGAUGCAGGAUUCCUGCCAUGCACCUUACCUGCAGCAGGCUGCACACAGGCUUCCACCUGUCAGGGGCAGGCGCCUGAACAGAGGCAGGCAAGUAUUCAGAGCUAAGGGUGGUUGGAGACAUGCAGGGGGUGACCCCUGAGUUGCCUCAGGGGUGAAUGGGAGCUUCUCAGUGUCAGGGGAAGCCAGGUGGAGGGCACAGCCAGGCCUGAAGUUGGGACUGUCCAGCCAGGUCUGGUGAUGGCCAAACUCUUUGCUCUAAAGUACUCCGGUGGGCAGUGAAGGGUCAUAGGACAGGGUGAGGCAGGAGAAAUCAUUCCAGAAAGGUCCCCGCUGCCUCCCCCUACCACUGGUUGAGACUGAUUUGCAGACCAGAGUUCCUCCCUUUCCCCGUGCCCCUGUGAGUCCGCCCCACUAGCCACCAUCCCUAAGGGGGCAGGCUCCCCACCGCAGCCCACCACAGCCCAGGGGCCACAGGGGCCUUAGCCGCUCAGCAGCCAAAGAUUGCGCUGCAGGGGAGGUCAAGAUUCCCCAGACCUGAGG